GACCCCAGGUCAGGCGGGAU
rnacentral:rRNA from 1 species